UACAUCGGAAUCUACUCUGUCGUGGGGGAUAACGUAGGGAAACUUACGCUAAUACCGCAUACGACCUACGGGUGAAAGCAGGGGAUCUUCGGACCUUGCGCGAUUGAAUGAGCCGAUGUCGGAUUAGCUAGUUGGCGGGGUAAAGGCCCACCAAGGCGACGAUCCGUAACUGGUCUGAGAGGAUGAUCAGUCACACUGGAACUGAGACACGGUCCAGACUCCUACGGGAGGCAGCAGAG
rnacentral:rRNA from 1 species